UUCAUUAGUCGUUUAAGACGCCUCCAGGGAGAGGUUAGGGAUUUCACCCAUGAACCCUAAUAUGCGAUUGUAAAUGAAUCGUCUGCAAUUGAAACGGAACCAUCAACGCUAACCUACAUCACCGGCUCUUCAAUUCACCUCGCAGCCCCCUUCAAAUCCCCCACCCCUUCACCGAUCAAUAUUUGUAUCAGCACCAUCGAGUCACGUUCUUCACUCCCAAACACGGGGGUACAUGUUUUUACGAAAACCUAAACAAUUGCGGUGAGCAGUUGUUUGAACCCAAAUUGAAAAAACAGGAGAUGGCGACGGCAACAUCUGACGAAGUCGAGGAGAGCAAAUACGACAGUGAGUGUUCUCUAUGGCGUAUCUAAGUUUCGGUCGCGCACCCGCCUCUACGGCGAACUCCUGGUCAAGAAACCGGCAACACAAAGAUUCUGACGGCCCUUAUAACUAUGAUAAUACUCAGAAGGUGGAGGUGAGGAAGCUGUAAAGAGGCGUAAAAGUAUGAAUAAAUUACUUCCUAGAGAUAUAAUCGUCCGGUUACUGGAUUCUUAUUCUUCGUUCCUUGAUCUUUCUCAGGUUAGAAACUAAUCAUUUGUUUUAAUUUAUUCUUGUAUAACUUGCAUUUUGUGAUGAAGGACCCGCGAACUCAACGAUUUCUCUCGUAGUAUAUUCAAUUCUCAUAUCUAUAACUCUAAUAACUACAUUAUAUAUCUCUACAAUUAUGACUAAACUGUUAAUGAUGGAUGGAUAUAAUUAUUAGAGAAUAUAUUUUCUUAAAUCCCAUUAUGACAUAUUUAGCUGAGUGUUUCAAGGAUCAAACUGAUGUUCAGUGCUUGCACCGGUGUCAGAAAGUUUUUAACCCCGAGCUUGUUAAAGGUCCAUGGCCAAAACAGGUAGUUACCUUGGUGAUCAUCGUUGACAUGAUAGCGUGGAUGCAAGAAGGUGGCCAAGCAUUAGCAGCACACUCAUCUGAAGCUGUUAGGAUGAAAGGUGCCACUGAAGUAAUGUCAGCAAUGAAUAAGCUAACAAGUUGGUGGAAAACAUUAUGUUGAAGCUUGUCUAUCAAGCUCCGAGGCCAUCAGUUACUAUUCGUCUUCUCUUUGGCACAUCUAUGAUUUGUUGUAGGAAACAAAAGGUCUUUAUAAAGAAGUUUUAACAACAUAUUAAAUUGCUCUAGACAUUGACCCCCUUGUGCAAAGUCUUGUUUUGUUGGCCAUGGUCUUAAGAUCACUUGGUGGCAAGUUUAAGCAUUGCGGUUAGACCGGAUGAACUCUUGGGCUUGGUAAGCUCUGGGGAAGUUUUACAAAGAUGAGGGUUCGAUGUUCAUAAAGGAAGUUUUGGACUGUUUUGAGGCUACAAGGAAACGGAAACCAUCAAGCCAUUUAGAUGAUGACGACAAAACAGACGCACCCGCCGCAACGCGCGGGCAUACCCACUAGUAUAACAAUUAUAGUGAAAG